CCUACGGGAGGCAGCAGUGGGGGAUAUUGCACAAUGGGGGAAACCCUGAUGCAGCGACGCCGCGUGUGGGAAGACGGUCCUCUGGAUUGUAAACCACUGUCCCCAGGGACGAAGAUGACGGUACCUGGGGAGGAAGCUCCGGCAAACUACGUGCCAGCAGCCGCGGUAAUACGUAGGGAGCGAGCGUUGUCCGGAAUGAAUGGGUGUAAGGGGAGCGGAGGCGGGGAUGCAAGUUGGGUGUCAAAACUACCGGCUCAACUGGUAGUCGCACUCAAAACUGCAGCUCUUGAGUGAAGUAGAGGCAGGCGGAAUUCCUGGUGUAGCGGUGAAAUGCGUAGAUAUUAGGAGGAACACCAGUGGCGAAGGCGGCCUGCUGGGCUUUUACUGACGCUGAGGCUCGAAAGUGUGGGGAGCAAACAGGAUUAGAUACCCUGGUAGUC
rnacentral:rRNA from 1 species